CUGAGAUGGCCUACUUCAACACUACUACUACUACCACUACAACUAGUAUUACUAUCCCGGCUUCAGUGGCUCCUCUCGACCUAUCCCCCGAUGCUCGUCAUAUCCAUUGCCCUACUCUUCGCAUCUCAUCACUUCGUCCAAU
ensembl:ncRNA Y67D8A.6 ncRNA